AGUGAACGCUGGCGGUAGGCCUAACACAUGCAAGUCGAACGGCAGCACAGUAAGAGCUUGCUCUUACUGGUGGCGAGUGGCGGACGGGUGAGGAAUACAUCGGAAUCUACUUUUUCGUGGGGGAUAACGUAGGGAAACUUACGCUAAUACCGCAUACGACCUACGGGUGAAAGCAGGGGAUCUUCGGACCUUGCGCGAUUGAAUGAGCCGAUGUCGGAUUAGGUAGUUGGCGGGGUAAAGGCCCACCAAGGCGACGAUCCGUAGCUGGUCUGAGAGGAUGAUCAGCCACACUGGAACUGAGACACGGUCCAGACUCCUACGGGAGGCAGCAGUGGGGAAUAUUGGACAAUGGGCGCAAGCCUGAUCCAGCCAUACCGCGUGGGUGAAGAAGGCCUUCGGGUUGUAAAGCCCUUUUGUUGGGAAAGAAAAGCAGCAGGUUAAUACCCCGCUGUUCUGACGGUACCCAAAGAAUAAGCACCGGCUAACUUCGUG
rnacentral:rRNA from 1 species